UACGUAGGGUGCAAGCGUUGUCCGGAAUUAUUGGGCGUAAAGAGCUCGUAGGCGGCUUGUUGCGUCGACCGUGAAAACCCGGGGCUCAACUUCGGGCUUGCGGUCGAUACGGGCGGGCUAGAGUUCGGUAGGGGAGACUGGAAUUCCUGGUGUAGCGGUGAAAUGCGCAGAUAUCAGGAGGAACACCGAUGGCGAAGGCAGUUCUCUGGGCCGUAACUGACGCUGAGGAGCGAAAGCGUGGGGAGCGAACAGG
rnacentral:rRNA from 1 species